GUGCUGCUUUGGCAGCACAUAUACUAAAACUGGAAUCGUACAGAGAUUAGCAUGGCCCUUGCACAAGAAUGACACACAAAUUCGUGAAGUGUUCUUCCAUAUU